rnacentral:pre_miRNA from 1 species
UUUUUAGUUUAAGUAUGUCACGUGUAAUAUUUGAGACAUACUUGUACUAAAA